rnacentral:rRNA from 1 species
AACUCUGAAGGGGCAAUGCUACUUGAACGAUGAAGGUCUUUUGAUUGUAAAGUUCUUUUAUUUAGGAAAAAAGCGCGCCUUGAUGGUACUAAUUGAAUAAGUGACAGCUAACUAUGUGCCAGCAGCUGCGGUAAAACAUAGGUCACAAGCAUUAUCCGGAUUUAUUGGGCGUAA